rnacentral:rRNA from 1 species
AACGAACGCUGGCGGCAGGCUUAACACAUGCAAGUCGAACGCCCCGCAAGGGGAGUGGCAGACGGGUGAGUAACGCGUGGGAAUCUACCUAGUUCUACGGAACAACAGAGGGAAACUUCUGCUAAUACCGUAUACGCCCUAAGGGGGAAAGAUUUAUCGGAAUUAGAUGAGCCCGCGUAAGAUUAGCUACUUGGUGGGGUAAUGGCCUACCAAGGCGACGAUCUUUAGCUGGUCUGAGAGGAUGAUCAGCCACACUGGGACUGAGACACGGCCCCGACUCCUACGGGAGGCAGCAGUGGGGAAUAUUGGACAAUGGGCGCAAGCCUGAUCCAGCCAUGCCGCGUGAGUGAUGAAGGCCCUAGGGUUGUAAAGCUCUUUCAGUGGGGACGAUAAUGACGGUACCCACAGAAGAAGCCCCGGCUAACUUCGUGCCAGCCGCCGCCGUAACAC